ensembl:snoRNA
AUGCACUGUUCGUGACCUGCUGGUCUGCCUGUGGCUGGUGGGUUCCAUUCCGGUGCGACAGUAGUUCCAGCGGCACAUGACUGACUGACUGGUGGCUCUCAGUCUCAGCUCGUGGGGACACAG